rfam:Lentinula edodes NBRC 111202 DNA, contig: scaffold1335.
GCAUUAAUGGGGUAGUGGUAACUUGGGUCGUUGCCAUCUAGGAAUUGUCGAUAGAAUUUCACACACAUCUUCGACCCGCCGGGGGUUCGAUUCCCUCUUAAUGCA